UGUUAGGAAUAUUUAUUGUUAAUACUUAGAUGCAGUACUUUUUGGGGUAGAAAUUUUAAGUUAAAUGCUCGUGUACCAGAUGGGGCCUGUAGGUAGUUCAAUUGACAAUUAGCAUCUUACACCUGGCUGGGAUCGUCAUAGAUGGAAUUGUUGUUUGGUAACUGGUGACCCUACUGUCAAAUUAAAUGCAUUGGGUACCACUUCGUUA
rnacentral:misc_RNA from 1 species